UCGUGACGAUUUUAAACUAAAGAUCUAAACCUUUUUUUUUGGCUAAUCUCUUCUCUCGUCGAUCUCUCUGAAACUCGAUUGGAAACCCCUCAAACUCGAUCCCAAAUUUGUUUGUCUUAUCAUUCAUUUUCGAUCCCUCUCAGUCUCAGUUAAUCCCUCUCAGUCAUUAUCCCUCUGAGUCAGAUUCAUCGACGAUCUACAACAUCCUCUCAUAGUGAGGAGUAACAUGCAUCAAUCCAAAUCGAAUUGGUGAGCUCGAAAUUCACACAGAAGGGUAAAAUAUAAUUUUGGGUGUUCGUUAUUUGCAGUGAUUUAGUGUUUAAAUCAUGUUGGGUUUGAUCCGUUUAGUUGUUUCGCUCUAUUGGAGGAAGAUUUCAGUUUCAGUAGUUCUACUUUCAAUUUGGGUUUUGGAUUGAUGCUUUUUUGAGUUGAUUUUUCUGAUGAUAAUUGUGUAUUUCUGAUAAACUGCAUACCGCCGCCGAGCCCGAGCCUAGGGAAAACGGGAUCGUUUGGUCGGUAGAGAAAGACGUGACCAGUUGAAUUUUGCACCUAUUAGAAGAACUAACAUGUAUAUGAUAAAUUUAAGUUGGAAGCAGUGGAUACUUAUGGUGAGACUCCAUUGCACAUGGCAGCCGAGGACGGUUGGCCGGUUGAAAUGAAGCUGCAAAAUUACUCCUUCAGAGUGGUGAUUAUUGAAGCCAAAGCCAGCGUAAUUUCCCAAUUCUUUAUAGUUAUUUGUCUUCCCUUUUUGUAAUGUGAAAUUUUUGCAGCUCUACUUCAUUGACAACAGCUUGGACUAAUUUGUUUUUUGGUUUUGGUUACUUUAUUCCUCGUUUCGAUUAGAUUUAGCAAUUUUGUUCCAUUUCAGUGUUUAGAUGAUCGAGUUUUGCUGUUGAUAUAUGUGAAUGGUAAGACUUAUGUUUCUUUUUGACAAAAUGGUAAGACUUCUAUUUCUUUUUGACAAAAGUUUGACAAAAAGUUUUACAUUACUACUUGCUAUUGAGAUUCAAACUUAACACAUUUUUCUUUUUAUACACUUGCAGGUGUAGUCAUAUUUUCAGUUUUAUGUACAAGUGAAAUUAAUAAUUUAUGUUAUUUAUUUCCUGAGGUUACUUAACGAAUUGAAAUGUAAGCUAAUGCAUAUCUUUUGCCAAGUUGCACGGUUUGGAAGAAGAUAUUGCAGAUGAACUUCCGCAGUUUUGGAUCAGCCAUAGUGAAGGGAAAAAAUCCAAAUUCUCAAGAUGUCGUUGACUAUAUAAUACUAUAAAUAUUUUUUUUUCUUGUAUAUAUUUUCAAAAUGUCGUUAUUUUCUUCGGUAUCUUUAUUUUGUAAAUAAAAUUUUAUCAAUAUUUAUGUAAAAAGAAUGAUUGGCACUUGUGAAAAAUACUACAUAUUCGUAAUUA